UGAGUGAUUACUGCCUGUGCUAAAGAACUCAGCGGCAUCCUGACUACUAGGCAGCGCUGUCCCAGAUCCAGAGAGCCUCACAGCCCACCCCAGCACCAGCUCCUGACCUCAUACUUUUCACCCUGCGUCAUCUCAACUGCACUCUCAUUUUUACAUCUGGAUGAAUACACAAAUACACACUCCUGUCUUCUGUGUGCCAAUCCACAGUUGACACUAGUGAAGGUUUGAUGACUUGGUAAGGUGCCCCCAUCGAAACAGGUGAAUACAUAUUUUAUGUGACUGCCCCUCUCGGAAUUGCCCUCAUGACCCAAGAACACACCUUGCCCCUGCCUUGUCCCUCAACUCACACAGCCUCCUCUACUGCUACAGAGGAGCCAUGGCAAGCCAGUAUGGGCGGUGGCUUCCACUUUGCUCCAGCCCAUGCAGUCACACAUUCGGGAACUUUUAAUGUCCAAUUGGCAGAGUAGUGCCAUGACCCCUGCACUUCCUUCCCUCUAAGUAGGGCAUCCGGUGCCCCUAGUCUCCCCAUGUUUACUUUGUGUGCUCGACCUGAGUGUCAUGGAAAAGAGAAAAAGUGGCCAGAGUUGAAGAAUGCCUUUCACCCUGUAUUUACUGAAGAGGAGUCAGGAUGACAAGUUAUCCCUCCUGAAGAGGACCUGCACUGAACAGCACUCCCACGGGGAGUCCACAUGGCUCACGUCAUGAGCAGCCCUCCAGGAGCGGCUUAGAGUAGUACCACCAAGACUUCAUUAUGGGCUUGCUCAUCUUCAGAGUUCACAUCUGCAAAAUCCUCCUCUGGGCAAAGCAAAGAUGUGACUAGAGACUGUACUCCUAACCCAGAGAGCAGCAAGGCUUCCUUUGAUAUGUCUGUCACCUGCCUCGUCCAGUGAGGAAGCCCGGGAGGCAGUUCUAUGAAGGUCAGUCACUCCGGAAUGGCUUCCUGCCAAAGAAUCACUCUGAAGCACUCAGAAACUCUGAAAGAAAGAUCACAGAAUACUGGCAAUGAAUAUGGAAACUGGAGAAUACCACAAAGGUGCACAGGACUUAAAUGCACACUAUAAGUUGCUGAUCAGGUUGGAGACAGCAAGGGAGGCCGGAGAUGCAGGAGGAUCCAUCUGGAGCCCAGGUGGGAAGGUAGAGUGGACAGGGACAGGUGAGUCCAUUGGCUAUGGGGCAACCCUCAGGAGUGUUCUGGCUACUGCACAGUCCCCCACCCCCAGAUCCAUAGACCCCUACAGCUCACCCCAGUACCAAUCACUGGGCCUGUCUGACUUUGCACCAUGAGUCAUCUUGACUUUCAAUACUUGUAUCUGGAUGAUCCCCCUCCACACACACAGGAACGGCUCCACCUCCUCCCUAUGUGACUGGUCCCAACUUGACAGUACUGAAGAUUUGUUGAAAUGGAGAAGACUCACAUUUUGAAACAAGUUCUCACACUACUACUGCUUCACGGGAGCUGUGUGAAGGCUGCAUGUCUAGUGCCCACACUUCACCAGCACAGCCAGCCACCUUCAAGGUGAGCUCAACUGUCCUUUGAGUGGAUCCCACAUGAAAUCUGAAGUGUUUGUCAUUUGAAUCCAGAGACGGGGCCGGCACCAGGUAUGGCAGAGAGCAGGGAACUGUGGGAGGGACAACCACUGAGACGCCCUCCCCUGAUAGUCACGGCUUUCCUCUCUGUGCGCCAUGGUUUCCUGAGACAUUUCCACCUACUGAAUGAACCCAGAGACCCUCAGAUAGGAUCAUGAUGAACUCAGCGUCCCCCUGCUGGACCCACACUCUAGGAUCCCUUGCUUAGCUUACUUUCAUCAGUAUCUCCCAGAAAGGUCUGAAGUAUUUACCUUUCUGCACUUAUCAGAAACAAUGUUGCUGCUGCUACUUUGUGGCCUCCAAGGCAUGUUGGGCCACAGCAUGGGGACAAGAGAAACCCCUGGAACCACUCAUAAUCAAGGGACAAAGCCUUAGUCCAGCCUCAUAUGGAUGGGACAGUGACAGGACCUUCCAUGUUGAACCCCAACAUCCUGGAUGAAAGAGGGAUACAGAGGUUUCCAAGAGGGCAGAAGGCCAGAACAGGUGCUUGAGAUGGGCAGAAGGAGAAGCAAAGAAAAAUGUCUGCCGACUCAGAGAGUACCCAGCACCUAGCACUGACCCCUUUUCUGGAAGAACACUGGUCUGAGGCAGCGCGAAGACCUUGACCACCUUGGCAGGCACAUUGCUGCUCCAAUGAGAAGACCGCAGAAAUACUGCUACUUGUAAGGGCCAGACAGAGCUGUACUUUGACAGUCACCUUUGGGGAUCUUUACCGUGAACGCUGUCUCUAAGGUCCCAUCUCUUAAAAACCCAGUGACCUCUUAUGCACCCUGCGUCCAUUCACGGUUUGCACAGGGCUGAGCCUAGACUAUCUCCAAAAAAUUGUUACAGGGGCCUGGGAAGUAUGCUACAUGCCAUGCAGCGCUCCAACAUACAGAUUAUUUUCUUUUCUUAAAUAAAAAUCAUAGUAACUGGAAAUCAUAGCUGUGCUGUCAUGAUGGGUAUAUAUUCAUAUAUAUGUUCAUGUUUACAUAUAUUUGCAUAAACUUCUCUCCCUCUGGAGGCACAAUCUGGCAGGUCUGCUUUUAGUGUUUUGAGGCCCCCAUACUGUUCCUCAUCAUUCGUCCACUGAUGGACAUUGGUUGACUCUGUAGCUUGCUGUAGUGAAUACUUCUCCUGUACACAUGGCAGUGCAGAUUUCUCAUGGACAUCCUGAUACCCUCUCCCUUGUGAAUGGCCCCAGUGCUGGAAUGGAUGGAUGCUAGGGCAGAUCUGUGUUCAUGUUCUGAGGAAUCUCCACACGGUCUCUCAUUAUGGCUGUACCAAUGUCCAUUCCUCCAGCAGUGUGCAAGCUUCUCACUUCACACACAGGUUACAUUUUGUUUCAAUAAUGUCCAGACUAAUUUAUGUGGUGACAUAUUUUAAGAUUAACAUUUCCUUUUCAUCAAAGAUUAGGUAUAAUAAACUUUUUUCGAUGUAUCUAUUAACCACU